ACACUCAUAAAAUAUUGAAAAGUUGGGGCAGGAGAGAUGGCUUGGUGGUUAGGGUGUGUAUUCUCUUCAGGUGCCUGUCAGGAGGUGCUCAACUCCAGCUCCAGGGGACCCACCGCCUUCUGGCCUCCGUGGAGACCUGUGUUCACGUGUGCACUCCCUCACAUACAUACACGUACAUCACAUGCACACGGAAUUUAAAUUUUUAGAAACUACACAGAAGGGUGAAUCCCACCCUAACGGUGUUUCCUUAUUAACAUUAUGGAGCAGUGAGAGCCAUGGCAAGUGUAGUAAUUGCCUACAACUUCUAAUUAGCAACAAACCCAAAUAUUUCCGAAGAACAUUGACAACUGUGAAGCUAUAUGGAAAUAUCUGUGAUUUCCACUGGUGACAAAAGUCACAGGCACCACUAAGGCCUUUUUUUGUCACCUACAUUCAUAUUUAAAGGGAAUGCUAAAACAAAUAUAACUUUUCUCACCCAAAUUCACAUACUCCUUAAGCAUGAGGUUGCCCAGCACUUUACACAGAGGUGGGUAUUCUCCAUGACCUAACAGGGUUCAAGUUCCCACCCGCAUGUCAACAGAGGUCUGUCAGAAGGGAGCGAGGGAACAGCAGAGUGAAUGCUUUGAGUGGCUCUGGGCCUUGGGGGCUCAAGGCAGGCUGUGGGUUAUAUGACGUGGCAGGGUAAGGGCUGUGAGCCUCAAAGCUAAUCCAGAAGCUUAAGCCAGAAGAAGCUUAAGGCUUCAUGAGACAGACACAGGCUGUCCAAGCAGAGAAGAAGCUGCAUUUUCGAGCUGGGGUGUAGCUCGUCGAGUAGUAGAUUGCCUGCCUAGCAUGUAUGAGGCCCUGGGUUUGAUCCUAAUGCUGCAGAAACCAGGGAUGGGCACACGUGCCUGGAGUCUCAGCACUUUGGAGAUGAAGGCAAAAGACCAGAGGCCAAAGGCCAUUCUUGGCCAUAUAUUGAGCUACAGAGGACCUUGUGUCACAUUAUAAAGAGCCUUGAUGAUCUAACUACUUCUCCCUGCUGGCAAGAAACCUCUCUGAGUCAGGGACUCCUCCUGGUGGGCAGAAACACUCCAACCUACGCAAAGCACAGCUGCCUCCACCUGUUCCCAGGAAGACCAGGAGGGAAAAACAGUAGCAGCCACCCCAGAGGCUAGAGAACCCAAGGGACACACCAAGGGCAGACACAGGGAUCCACAGGGAGGGUGAUGGUCGACAGUGUGAAGGUGACUGGAGGCCCCAGCGAUCUAUGAGGAAACUGAGUCAUGACUGUCACAAUGCUAUUUGCCAGGACUGGACCUGAGCCCCCAGCUCAGCUCACAAAAUGGCACACAUCCUGAGCCAGCAGAAAUCACCCCAUCCAGUGCCCCAGAGGGCAAAGAACAUCUGUCAGGUGUCCAUCCAUGUGCCUCCUCACCCGUUUCACUGGAAACUCCCUCCCGUCCCUGACAGGCAGCUCAUUCCAGCUAGAGACAGCUCUACGGAAAGGUCCUUCCAGCCCACACUAGAAUCUCUACCCAUGAUUUCCAUUUGCCGCUUUCCUUGACAGAUUUUUCAAAUGGCUUUCAGGAUCUCCUCCUCCUUGUAUCUUCUGGGGUGCACACCUUGACAGCUAUGAGCCACAGAUCCUCUGAGGGUAUGUGAAUGCCCCCUAGAUCUAUGCCCAGACUUCUGUUAAUGGAGCACAGUGUCACAGGUAUGGAUUCCUUUUGGAGAUUCAUUAUUCUCCCAAUGCCUCCCCCUGCCAAGUCUCUCCUCUGGCAAAGAGCUCCAAAACAGAAGAGCAGAAAGGAGAGACUAUGGAAGCUAGAAGGGUCUCAGAGAACCCAGUCCAAACCUCUCACUGUACAGAUGGAGACUUUGGGGCUGGAGAGAUGGCUCAGAGGUGAGGAGCAUUGGCCGCUCUUGUGUUUGGUUUAACCGUAUCCACCGAAUACCAGAUGACUCUUGACUUGAAGUCUUACACCCAAUUCAAGGUCAGGAGGACUAAGUGGGGUCAUCUGAGCCUUUGUGACUAAGGAGGAGAAGAAUGUGAACUCUUCAGCCUGGCGCCAGGCCUUGGCCAUAAGCAGCUCUUGUAAUGGGAGAGGCAAGGGCUUUGGGUACGCAGAUUCACGCACUGCCCCCCUCGAAUGGCUCUGCUUCCCCACUCCAGCUCCCCCAAACCCCACCGUGAGAAGAGUUGGCGACAUGAACCUGGGAGUUCAUCCCGGGUCCCCAUCCCUCCACGCAGCCCUGGAUGGACACUCUUUCGCCCAGAUCUCCUUUCAGUGGCUCUUGCCAGACAGAGAGUGUUAGGAAACACCACCGGGUCAUGGGAACAAUCUAGCUGGGCCAACCUGCAUGGAGGGUUGGAAAAGGCUUCCUUCUGCUUCUUUAUCAAGUAUCACAGAGCAGUGGCACCCCAUCCGACGCACAGCCAGGACCUGUUACAGAGCUAUCCUGCAACCUUCCCUGUCCUCCUCCUCACAGUCCUUCAUUACCCCAGCCUCUCUCAGGGUCCUCCAGUCGUCUUCAAGGUUCUGUUUUGACAAGUCUCAAGAGUCACUCCUGGACCAAGUCCGUCCUGAUGUACCUUCCUCUCAUUGUCCCUUCCUUCCCUGCCUCACCGUCUUCUGAUUUGUCUCCUUGUCUCUGUUGCCAGAGCUAUGAUAGGUCAUCUCGAUGGUCUGCAGUAGACCCUCCAUUUCCGGUGUACAGUAAAUGCUCAAUAAAAACCUCCUGAAGACACAAAUAUUACAGUGGUGUCUGAGGCGGUCCAGGGAUACUGGGGUGUGUGAGAGGUCCUAAAACUUGACUUUUAGGACAGGAGAGGUAGCCCUGCCCCCAUCCCACCCUACCACACCAACAUGCCACAACAGGAAAAUUUAUAGUUGAACUUGCCCAUCGUGUACCAUGACCCCCAAAGGGUUGUGUGUCUGUUUUUUCCAGGGCCUCAAGCGUGUUAGCAAAUGUUCUGCCACAGAGCCAUAUACUAGCCCUUUAUCUGAGUGGACAAAACCCAUCUAGAGAGGCUUGGUCAGGGAUUUGCCUAGCUGCCCCCAUGAGCUCCAUGGAGGAGUGGACGGUAAAGGAGUUGGGAUUAGAUGAUGUUGGUCCUGGCCUGGGAGAUCAAAGAAACUCCAGGAAGAUUCUUGAGGGACUGAUGGGUCUUUUCAUGCGUGUGAUGCACAAAAACCUGGUACUUCUCUUGGAGCAAUGACUCUCGGGGAAACUUUUCUCUAAAAGACUGACAGUAAUAAAGCCCCUGGCCAACAUUGGCACUGCCCGAGCCAUGGCCCCUAUGAAAUGGUUCUAAAAUUUCCUAGCUGAUCUCCUUCCUUGAAUCCUGGGAACUGAAGGGGUUCACGAUCAAUCUAUCAAGCUUCUCCCUUUUCAACACAGAAACAGGCCACCUCAUUGCCUCCAGACAGUCCUGAGUACUCCUGAGGGAACCAAGAAGUGAGGCGUGUAUGUAUGUGUGUUCCCUGACAGUUCAGGAAGGCGAGCCUUGCUCUGUGAAGGACCACAAAACUGAGCCGGAGCCAUGAGUAGAAGCCGGGAUGACAGUCAGAACUGCCCAAAGAAGGCAGCCUGGGAGGUGGUGAGGCUCUGUGACAGGAUGUGUGCAAACACAGACUGCCUGGGGGUGAGCCAGUAGCCUCCACAACAUAGCCUUUAAUUUCCCCCAGCCCUAUCAAGCUGAAGAGACUGGCUUCUGCUCUGGGCCUCUCCUCAUGGUCUCUGAGCUGUUUCUUCUGCUCACUAAAAAUCUAGACCAAGUCACGGAAACUCACCAACCUGGUUCCUCUCACCAAGCUACAGGCCAGGGAAGAGACAGGCUGAGGCACUGGCCAGGAAUCUGGUCCUCCACACUGGGCUCAGUGUGCCUUUCUUCUGCAAUGACUUACAAACACAAGUCACCUGCAGGCAUCAACCUAAUGCUGGUUCGGGCAUGUAGGCGGCUGGGUAGCACACGCACAUUUUUAGGAAGAGAGCUUUAAAAUCUCUCCUUCUCAGUGUCCCCUCCUGGGAAGCCAGAGGCCCUGGGAGGAGGACAGGACUCUGCUGCUCUCAUGGGGAAAGAGGACCAAAGAAGGAAAUAAGUCCAGAUGGAGGGGGAGGGAGGACACUGCCCAUCGGUUUCCUGAGAAGAGUCAGGCUGUAAAAGGAGAGAAGAGGCCUCCGUGAUCCAUGGGCACGAGGCAGCCACUUAACUCUUCCGGUGCAGCAUCCAAGUGUGGGAGGAUAGAGGAAUUUCCCAACGCAUUCCUGGGCUUGAAGCCAGGCAGGCCCCCUCCCACUCCUGGCUGUCAGCAUUGCUUAGGCCCCACCUUACUACACAGGGCAGUGAGUGGCCCAGAGGGUGGUGGCUUUUGAAAAUGGUUAGGGUUGGUGGAAAACAGACUCUGGAGACAGGAAACACUGGCAACCAGGAUAUCUGUUUCUGGAUGUCUCUCUAAAGAACAUUUUCCACAUCUGCAAGGGGUGUGUGUGUGUGUGUGUGUGUGUGUGUGUGUGUGUGUGUGU
rnacentral:sRNA from 1 species